CUCUCUCUCUCUCAUUAUUCAUGUUCCCGGGCCCCGCUCUUCGCUCUGACUGGCUGCCUGGCAUAGCAUUCAUCCAACAUUCAGCAGCUCUGUUUGCUAACAUUCCUCAUUCAAAGCCCGGUUAACUGCCAGACGGGAGGAGCACGCGACUCUAUAGGAAACCCACAUGGCCUCCCCUAUUGUGGUGGGCCCGGAAUCGGAGGUUUAAGGGACGGAGAGGAGCAGGAUGUGCUGGUUUGUGAAUAUGAGACUGUUAUUCGAGGUUAGGGAGGGUUUUUCGAAUUGUAUAGAGCGUUUUGGCGAUUGCAGAGGUAAAUCUGUGGCAGAGAGGGGAAUGCUGAUGUAUGAAAAAGGCGUUGGGCACAGACGGAGGAGGCUGAUACUUUCCGGGAUGCUGAAUGGGUCUCACGUUGGCGUGCCCGCCUACUCCUUGCAGCGAGUGCAGAGCUGUGUGACUGAAGCUGAAGCUCCCUGUCUCUGCCCCUUCUACAGGAAGGAUAUGUGGGCAUACUGUGCUGCCUAGGAUGUGCCCGGCGGAGAAUACAGCAGUUUUAUCCCGGAUAGCUGAUUCCAGUCUCUCCAAAGAUGGCUCAUUAUUUUGGAAUUACAGGAGUUUUCCUGGCUGGAAGUCAAAACCAAGUUUAGGAAACAAGAGGAGGCGAGCUGAUGCAGGGAGCGCUCAGACGUGACACUGCGGGGAGGAAGUGACGUGCAGGAAGCAGUUAAAUAUUAAACUUCAUCAAAAACUCAGAAAAAAAGAAGACAUUUAGCCACACAGGCGAGACUUCAGACGAUAAACAAAGCAAAGGCGGCGUCUGAUAAACUGUCCUUUGGGGUGAGGUAGUAGGUUGUAUAGUUUUAGGGUCAUUCCCAAGCUGUCAGAUGACUAUACAACUUACUGUCUUUCCUGAAGUGACUGUGAUGCCUUCAAGAUGCCAUCAAGAGCUUUUCAAGAUCAUCAUGAAACCAAGUCAUACGAGUCUGAACCUGGGAAAUGCUCUACAAACCUGUGGAAA